UCCGAAAUCGCAUACUUCUCUACUAUGUAGUAUGGAAAUAGCAGUAUGCAACCAAUUAGUAUGUUUGAAUCUUUUGCGUUCAUAAAAGAGUAGUCGAGAAUUGCAAUAACUCUCGCGAGAUUCAGUUGUACGUAUACUUAAUUUGCGUUCUAAUAUGCCUACUCACCUACUAUAUAGUAGGGAAAAAGAGUAUGCGAAGAAAGAAGUACGUUCGAAACCUUGAACCAUAAAACAGUAGGCGAGAAAUCCCCAGAUGUCCUACUGCUUCAGCGAAGAUUCUGAAGGGUUCAUCGAUGGAUACUUUUCAAUCACAGAAUGCCACGCGAAAGGGAUAAAUCGUCAACGAACGUGAAGGAGAGCAGCGUAGAGGGUGUUUACAAAGGGACAGAUGAGACACUCGUGUGUUUAUCUGGUGAAGAGUGACUGAUGAAGGAAUGCUGCCAUCAAAGACUCUCAAUCUUUUGUGGUGGAGCAGGUGACAGCAGCAUCUGUGGAAAAAAACCUGAAACCAACAUAAAGUAAGAUCAUUCUGUUACUUCUAAUACAGAAGUGAAAUGACACUGUGCUGUUAAAAUGACUGCUUUUGUGUUUGUGCAUCUUUGCAGGAUCGGAAAUGUCUGCAGACUGCUGUGUGCACUGAGGAUGGAGAAGAUGGAGUGCCAUGGGUGAAAUGCUCCAUCACUGCAUCUCCUCUUGUUUUCUCAUCAGGACCAGAUGUUUAUGUGGUCUCUUCAUCUUCAGUGACCCCAGAGCCAGUGAGAACAUCUAGAGAAAGACCAAAAGACACUGAGGAUGUGAUUUUGGUCAAGUUUGUUCUGCUGGUUUCUGUUCAUACAACAUCAGUCAAUAAAACAUGAGUUUCAGAAGUUUCUAAAGUAUCUUCAAUUAAUGUCAUGAAGAUUCUGAAAGUCAGACUCCAUUGACCGAUACUGUAUGAACACAAACCAGCAGGAGAAACCUGACCAAAAUCACCUUUUGUGUUUGGACAAAGGAUUGAACAGAAUGAAGGCAAGUCAUUAAUGACUGAAUUUAUACGUUUAAAUGAACUGACCCUUUAAAACCCCAAAAAGAAACUGUAUUAAAUGUAUGCAUGCAUUAAUAUUAUAGUAGAAC